UCUCCUGUAGCUCAGUUGGCAGAGGAAGUGAAUGUUGCCUCAAGGUCGCUGGUUCAAACCCAGCUGGCAAAG